UACGAGUGCCCCAAGCGUUGUCCGGAAUUAUUGGGUGUAAAGGGUGUGUAGGCUGAUUUGUUAGUCUUUUGUUAAAGAUCCCGGCUUAACCGGGAAAAAGCAGAAGAAACGGCAAAUCUUAGAGUAUGCGAGGGGUGAACGGAACUCAUAGUGUAGGGGUGAAAUCCGUUGAUAUUAUGGGGAACACCAAAAGCGAAGGCAGUUCACUGGCGCAUUACUGACGCUGAAACACGAAAGCGUGGGUAGCGAAUGGG
rnacentral:rRNA from 1 species